CCACUAACCCUGCCCACCCUUUCGAGAGAAAAAAACCGCUGCGCACAACUCCCCGCACGACCUCUCGCACGCCCGCCUCCCAUCCCGCGCCGGUCGCACGCCUUCCCUCCCUCGCCGGCCUGCCUCCCGCGCCGCCCACCUCCCCUCCCGCGCCGGCUGCACGUCUCCCCUACCUCGCCGGUCUGCCAUCCCCGUCGGUCGCCUCCCCAACCCUGCCGGCCGCACGCCUCCCCUACCUCGCCGGGCCCCGCCUCCUGCGCUGGUUCAACCGCCGCCGCCGCCGCCGUCGGUCCUCAUGCGACCGUGAGCAGCCACCCCCCACCACCACCACCACCCAAGCUGGUCCUCCUCUGCUGCCCCAAGAACGCCGCGGCCCACCGUACAAAUCCACGCGACCGUGCAAUGGUGGACAGCUUACACGUUUAAUCAUAAUUGUUCUGCUCAAUUGCGACACUUUGUAUCUCUCGGACUCUAUUUGAAACAUGCUUCUUUCUGAAACCCUAUCAAGGUAAAGUCAAGGUAAAGACAUUCUUCUUUGUCUUUCACUGAUUCAAGUAGCAGGGAAAAACCUUCUUACUCUUUACACAGAUUUGCUAUAUAUAGGAACCAAUUGGGAGUAUCCUCCACAUAUUAUGAUAUGAAGGUAACAGAAGUAGUGCCCUUCUAUUUCCACUCUUACUCAGACUAUCCUAUUGCACGAAAACUAAUUUACCAUUUUGAAUAUUUGGUAUGCUAUGUAAAAUAGGAAGCAGAUCGCCACGUACUCUUAUUUUCUAUUCGAAAUCCUAUCAGAAAGAAGCUCUCUUCUCGAUGAAGGAAAAACAUCCCUGCUUGAGUGCCUAUACUGUUGCAGACAAUAUGUGAUUUUCUGUGUUAUUUGUGUGAUCUUAAAAGAAUUUGUAUGGUCAGGGCUAAUGACUUUCUUUUUAACUUUUCAGCAGGGAACGUGGACGCACGCGGGGUGGCCGCCGACGAACAACGUCGUGCGUGAGUGCGCACCAGCGUGGUGGCGCAGAGCCCUCUGCCGCCAGCAUACUGCCGAUUUGAGUGGACACAUGAUCUGUUAUGUCACAUGCUUCUCAUAUUAGUGGAAAUGAAAAUGUUUGAGGAAAUCUGGAGGUGCGCAUCAUAACAUAUUUCUGAUGAUUCCGAAGUUUGACAAUUUGUAAAAAAAUGGAGUGAUACAUGCAUAUAGUUGUAAUUCUGUUGCUAUGCCAUCAACCUGUCAAUGUAUCCACGAUUUGUAAUGUUCAUAUUGCACAAUAGUUCUUUAUAGGUAUAAAAUAACUGUAACUUUCCGGUAUAGACUAUCUGUAGUUGGCAUAGGUUUUUCUUCAAUUGUGUUCAGUACUGUAACUUUCCGGGUAUAAACUAAUAUAUAGUUGGCAUCGCUUUUUCUUAAUUGUGUUCAGUAAAUAUUAAUUUAUCCAUGUUGUAAACACAUUGGUGGCAUAAAUUUGAUGCUUAGUCUUAUGUCUGACUUACUCCAAUUGAAAGCACUGACCCUAAACCAAAAAUCUGUCGGUGGACAUAUCAAUCGCGCGCAACAAAUCUUGGAUAAAUUUAAAAAUAAUUUGGUCCAGUUAUGAUUUUUAGUAUGGAAACGCUUGAGAUUUUUAGUCAAUUUUGGGAUAGGAAGUGAUUUUCUUUAGUCAUACAAAAUUUGGUCCAGAAUCCGAAGGAAGUGCUGCAAGGAAUCGAACGUAAGUUGGUGAAACAUCAUCUUCAAGGACUAGGGUAAAGUGGUUUUAUGUCAUGAACCUUUUCCUUAAUGGCUUCAGAACCACAUGGAAUCACAUUCAAGUAUUGUAUUAUUUUUCCUGUUCACAGCUAUCAUCGGAGAAAACAAUGACAAUAGCAUUGCAGGAGCCUUCUGUUAUGCUCUAAUCAUGUUUGUAGUACCAUGUAUCAUCAGGCAUUUACAUAGUUAUUGAGUAACGUGGCAUUAUCUAUAUUCAUGCAUUGGGUAAAAAAAUCAUUGGAUACACAUUAUUAUUUUUAUAUUUGGUCAAGAAGUAGAAUACAAAGUUUUUGUUGUGCUUCAAAAGGACUUUUUUAGCAUAUUUGCUUUUGUGUAUAUUUGGUUGUCUAAUGAGCUGUAUAUUUGGUUAUCACUGGAUGCACAUUAGUACUAGGAUUCUUUUUUUUAACAGGAGUACUGGGAUUCUUAUGCAUGUCUACUGUUGUUUAGGAAACUCAAGACAUGAUGGUUCCGUUUUGGACAAAAAAGAAAAGUAGCACCACUGUGUUAAACCAAUGCUUAGAGGAGUUCUACAUUAUUUCAUUAGUCCAUUUACAGCAUGUCAAAUGGAUCAUCUUAUUUAGGGGGCAGCCCCAGUGCAUGCAGCUCCCGCUUGCGCAGGGUCUGGGGAAGGGUCCGACCACUUUGGGUCUAUUGUACGCAGCCUUUCCCUACAUUUCUGUAAGAGGCUGUUUCCAGGACUUGAACCCGUGACCUCAUGGUCACAAGGCAGCAGCUUUACCACUGCGCCAAGGCUCCCCUUCUGGUUACACUCUUUCGACAGUCGAUACAUAUUUUCUCUUGGAUUAUUUACAAAAGAAAAUGAUUUGGGGUGAAGAGUUGAAGGCCUGAAACCAAAUGUUACUAAUCAGGAAGAUGACCCGCACAACUCCUCUGAAACAAGGCCAACCCUAUGUGCAAAGAUUUAAAGAUUGCAAAUGUGUUUAAUGUGGUUCAAUAUCAUAUAGCACUGUAUUGCUUCAUGCAGACCCUUUUUAUCAUUCAUUUUUAUUAUUUAAAUCUCUAUACGGCCGUCAUAGAUGCUGCUAUUACAUGGAUUUAUUACUAUUUUUCA